UAUUGGUCUACCAGAGAGGGCACAUGUGCCUCAAUUGGCCUAUAGCAUAGUGGCUCAUUAUCCUUCAACCGCUGGUGGCGGGCGGUACUCGCUGCUCUGUGAAGCCAGCCUCACGCAAUGUCCGCCACUUUAGGUGUUGGGAUGCAAAGGCUUUCGCCAAGGCAUCCGAAACCCACUACACAACUUGGAAUGGGUGGUCCACAGUUUGUAGCACUAGACCCAGGCACAUGCACCACAAUUGACAUUCACACUACCUUAUUGCCCCCGCUCGGGUUACAAGCAAUCGCUACUUGCUCAGCGAGUGAGGGGGGUUCAAGACUACCUAUUUAAGGUGGUGUUGUACUGUAUGAGCCGGCGGUGUGGUAUUUACCAACUACAAAUAGUGUCAUGCAUGUGACUUGCUAGUUGACAAUGUCUGUUGUGGAGCUAGAUGUGGGCUAUGGAUGAAGCACAUUAGGAUAUAGUAGGCCUAUUUUGUUUUUUGUUAUUUUUGGGCCACUAUGGACUUUAUGUUGAUGUUGUGAAUUUUUUUCUUGUGUUUCCUCUUCCUACGAUGUGGAAAGUGGGUGCGUCAGAGAAGAAAGAAAGAGUGGCUAGCAUUGAUUUUACGUCAUACCAUUGAGAACACUAAUCAGAAGCAGAAGCAACAAUAUUUCAUACAUAUACAACACUUGUAAUCCAUAUAAACAACUUUCCUUUCAAAUAUAAUAUAAACCACAUGAUUUAUAUCCUGGGUCGGCUAUCUCCACAAAGGGCAAGAAAACGCUCCAAGUUUGUAGUAUAGAACUAAAAGUGUCGACUCUCACGAUUUCUUCCCGACAUAUGCAAACUAGACAGUAAUCACAUAAAAUAAAGAAAUAUGUGUUAACACAAACUUAUAACAUGUAUUUCAACAUAUAGAUUUUUGAUUAUUAUGGUAGAUUAUAUAAUAUAGGGGUUCCCGAAGAAAUACAUAAAAAACAAGAGCAUUAAAAUUUCCUUUUCAGAUCUGGCUAACUGGUAAAGGGAGUUGGAGUAUCUGUGUUUCCAAAUUUGGGACGUCGCUCUAUAGAAGGAAUAUAAAUACAUUGGAAAAAAAUUCUACAAGGAAAGGUUUAAUACAAGUAGGGCUAAGAAAAACUCAAUGAGGCUUUGGUCGCAUGGUCACAAAACUUGAGACAAGAAACACGAAGACACCAAGGUAAUUAGUAUGAGAGUUUUCCAAAUUUGGUGUCUUGAUGUAGAAAAAAUAAAUAUAUGACAAACUUGUUUUUUCGCAAGGCAUGGAUAAAUAAGUGGGGGUGAGCAAUAAAUUUCAUCCUAGAUUUAGAAGGAAUAAAUAUAUCACUAAAUACGUUUUUUCAUAAUGCCAAGUUAAUCAGGUGGGAGCGAGAAACAAUUCUAGCGAGGCUAGGUUGUACUAGCCCAAAACUACAUACAACAGAGGAAAAAUGAAGAAAAUGAUGGUCUACCAAAUAUGGCGCAUGAGCCUUAAGGUGCACCUAGAGGGAAGUAGAAGAAAUAAAUAUAUAAUAGCAUAUGUUUUUCUCAAUGCAAGGUAAAGUGUAGAUGUGCUCUAACUGGGCUUAGAUUGCAGCGACACAUUAUGCAUCUACAAGGCUUGGUUGCACAUGGAAAAAGAUAGAGAGAGAAAUGUAGACACAGGACGGGGAGAAAAACAUUCAAUGAGACAUGAUUGCACGGACAUAGAACUAGAUAUAAGACAAGAGUUAAAGAAAAAUAAAGGAACUAAAUUUUCUUCUGCACACUCAGCAUGAAUGGAGUUGUAGUAUCUGAGAUCAAAAUUUAAUUUAUUCCAAGAUGCAGAACAAAAACGUGAUACUCGUAAUGGUUACAUAGGAACAAAAGUAGAUAAGAAAAAUAGCAAAAAGAUAGUGGUCUACCAGAGAGGGCACAUGUGCCUCAAUUGGCCUAUAGCAUAGCGACUCAUUAUCCUUCCACCGCUGGUGGCGGGCGGUACUCGCUGCUCUGUGAAGCCAGCCUCACGCAAUGUCCGCCACUUUAGGUGUUGGGAUGCAAAGGCUUUCGCCAAGGCAUCCGAAACCCACUACACAACUUGGAAUGGGUGGUCCACAGUUUGUAGCACUAGACCCAGGCACAUGCACCACAAUUGACAUCCACACUACCUUAUUGCCCCCGCUCGGGUUACAAGCAAUCGCUACUUGCUCAGCGAGUGAGGGGGUUCAAGACUACCUAUUUAAGGUGGUGUUGUACUCUAUAAGCCGGCGGUGUGGUAUUUACCAACUACAAAUAGUGUCAUGCAUGUGACUUGCUAGUUGACAAUGUCUGUUGUCGAGCUAGAUGUGGGCUACGGAUGAAGCACAUUAUGAUAUAGUAGGCCUAUUUUGUUUUUUGUUGUUUUUGGGCCACUAUGGACUUUAUGUUGAUGUUGUGAAAUUUUUUCUUGUGUUUCCUCUUCCUACGAUGUGGAAAGUGGGUGUGUUAGAGAAGAAAGAAAGAGUGGCUAGCAUUGAUUUUACGUCAUACCAUUGAGAACACUAAUCAGAAGCAGAAGCAACAAUAUUUCAUACAUAUACAACACUUGUAAUCCAUAUAAACAACUUUCCUUUAAAAUAUAAUAUAAACCACAUGAUUUAUAUCCUGGGUCGGCUAUCUCCACAAAGGGCAAGAAAACGCUCCAAGUUUGUAGUAUAGAACUAAAAGUGUCGAUUCUCACGAUUUCUUCCCGACAUAUACAAACUAGACAGUAAUCACAUAAAAUAAAGAAAUAUGUGUUAACACAAACUUAUAGCAUGUAUUUCAACAUAUAGAUUGUUGAUUAUUAUGGUAGAUUAUAUAAAAUAGAGGUUCCCGAAGAAAUACAUAAAAACAAGAGCAUUAAAAUUUCCAUUUCAGAUCUGGCUAUCUGGUAAAAGGAGUUGGAGUAACUGAGUUUCCAAAUUUGUGACGUAGCUCUAUAGAAGGAAUAUAAAUACGUUGGAAAAAUUCUACAAGGAAAGGUUUAAUACAAGUAGGGCUAAGAAAAACUCAAUGAGGCUUUGGUCGCAUGGUCACAAAACUUGAGACAAGAAACACGAAGACACCAAGGUAAUUAGUAUGAGAGUUUUCCAAAUUUGGUGUCUUGAUGUAGAAAAAAUAAAUAUAUGACAAACUUGUUUUUUCGCAAGGCAUGGAUAAAUAAGUGGGGGCGAGCAAUAAAUUUCAUCCUAGAUUUAGAAGGAAUAAAUAUAUCACUAAAUACGUUUUUUCAUAAUGCCAAGUUCAUCAGGUGGGAGCGAGAAACAAUUCUAGCGAGGUUAGGUUGUACUAGCCCAAAACUACAUACAACAGAGGAAAAAUGAAGAAAAUGAUGGUCUACCAAAUAUGGCGCAUGGGCCUUAAGGUGCACCUAGAGGGAAGUAUAAGAAAUAAAUAUAUAAUAGCCUAUGUUUUUCGCAAUGCAAGGUAAAGUGUAGAUGUGCUCUAACUGGGCUUAGAUUGCAGCGACACAUUAUGCAUCUACAAGGCUUGGUUGCACAUGGAAAAAGAUAGAGAGAGAAAUGUAGACACAGGACGGGGAGAAAAACAUUCAAUGAGACAUGAUUGCACGGACAUAGAACUAGAUAUAAGACAAGAGUUAAAGAAAAAUAAAGGAACUAAAUUUUCUUCUGCACACUCAGCAUGAAUGGAGUUGUAGUAUCUGAGAUCAAAAUUUAAUUUAUUCCAAGAUGCAGAACAAAAACGUGAUACUCGUAAUGGUUACAUAGGAACAAAAGUAGAUAAGAAAAAUAGCAAAAAGAUAGUGGUCUACCAGAGAGGGCACAUGUGCCUCAAUUGGCCUAUAGCAUAGCGACUCAUUAUCCUUCCACCGCUGGUGGCAGGCGGUACUCGCUGCUCUGUGAAGCCAGCCUCACGCAAUGUCCGCCACUUUAGGUGUUGGGAUGCAAAGGCUUUCGCCAAGGCAUCCGAAACCCACUACGCAACUUGGAAUGGGUGGUCCACAGUUUGUAGCACUAGACCCAGGCACAUGCACCACAAUUGACAUCCACACUACCUUAUUGCCCCCGCUCGGGUUACAAGCAAUCGCUACUUGCUCAGCGAGUGAGGGGGUUCAAGACUACCUAUUUAAGGUGGUGUUGUACUCUAUAAGCCGGCGGUGUGGUAUUUACCAACUACAAAUAGUGUCAUGCAUGUGACUUGCUAGUUGACAAUGUCUGUUGUCGAGCUAGAUGUGGGCUAUGGAUGAAACACAUUACGAUAUAGUAGGCCUAUUUUGUUUUUUGUUGUUUUUGGGCCACUAUGGACUUUAUGUUGAUGUUGUGAAAUUUUUUCUUGUGUUUCCUCUUCCUAUGAUGUGGAAAGUGGGUGGGUUAGAGAAGAAAGAAAGAGUGGCUAGCAUUGAUUUUACGUCAUACAAUUGAGAACACUAAUCAGAAGCAGAAGCAACAAUAUUUCAUACAUAUACAACACUUGUAAUCCAUAUAAACAACUUUCCUUUAAAAUAUAAUAUAAACCACAUGAUUUAUAUCCUGGGUCGGCUAUCUCCACAAAGGGCAAGAAAACGCUCCAAGUUUGUAGUAUAGAACUAAAAGUGUCGAUUCUCACGAUUUCUUCCCGACAUAUACAAACUAGACAGUAAUCACAUAAAAUAAAGAAAUAUGUGUUAACACGAACUUAUAGCAUGUAUUUCAACAUAUAGAUUGCUGAUUAUUAUGGUUGAUUAUAUAAAAUAGGGGUUCCCGAAGAAAUACAUAAAAACAAGAGCAUUAAAAUUUCCUUUUCAGAUCUGGCUAUCUGGUAAAAGGAGUUGGAGUAACUGAGUUUCCAAAUUUGUGACGUAGCUCUAUAGAAGGAAUAUAAAUACGUUGGAAAAAUUCUACAAGGAAAGGUUUAAUACAAGUAGGGCUAAGAAAAACUCAAUGAGGCUUUGGUCGCAUGGUCACAAAACUUGAGACAAGAAACACGAAGACACCAAGGUAAUUAGUAUGAGAGUUUUCCAAAUUUGGUGUCUUGAUGUAGAAAAAAUAAAUAUAUGACAAACUUGUUUUUUCGCAAGGCAUGGAUAAAUAAGUGGGGGUGAGCAAUAAAUUUCAUCCUAGAUUUAGAAGGAAUAAAUAUAUCACUAAAUACGUUUUUUACAAUGCCAAGUUAAUUAGGUGGGAGCGAGAAACAAUUCUAGCGAGGCUAGGUUGUACUAGCCCAAAACUACAUACAACAGAGGAAGAAUGAAGAAAAUGAUGGUCUACCAAAUAUGGCACAUGAGCCUUAAGGUGCACCUAGAGGGAAGUAGAAGAAUAAAUAUAUAAUAGCAUAUGUUUUUCGCAAUGCAAGGUAAAGUGUAGAUGUGCUCUAACUGGGCUUAGAUUGCAGCGACACAUUAUGCAUCUACAAGGCUUCGUUGCACAUGGAAAAAGAUAGAGAGAGAAAUGUAGACGCAGGACCGGGAGAAAAACAUUCAAUGAGACGUGAUUGCACGGACAUAGAACUAAGUAUAAGACAAGAGUUAAAGAAAAAAGGAACUAAAUUUUCUUGUGCACACUAAGCAUGAAUGGAGUUGUAGUAUCUGAGAUCAAAAUUUAAUUUAUUCCAAGAUGCAGAACAAAAACGUGAUACUCGUAAUGGUUACAUAGGAACAAAAGUAGAUAAGAAAAAUAGCAAAAAGAUAUUGGUCUACCAGAGAGGGCACAUGUGCCUCAAUUGGCCUAUAGCAUAGUGGCUCAUUAUCCUUCCACCGCUGGUGGCGGGCGGUACUCGCUGCUCUGUGAAGCCAGCCUCACGCAAUGUCCGCCACUUUAGGUGUUGGGAUGCAAAGGCUUUCGCCAAGGCAUCCGAAACCCACUACACAACUUGGAAUGGGUGGUCCACAGUUUGUAGCAAUAGACCCAGGCACAUGCACCACAAUUGACAUUCACACUACCUUAUUGCCCCCGCUCGGGUUACAAGCAAUCGCUACUUGCUCAGCGAGUGAGGGGGUUCAAGACUACCUAUUUAAGGUGGUGUUGUACUGUAUGAGCCGGCGGUGUGGUAUUUACCAACUACAAAUAGUGUCAUGCAUGUGACUUGCUAGUUGACAAUGUCUAUUGUCGAGCUAGAUGUGGGCUAUAGAUGAAGCACAUUAGGAUAUAGUAGGCCUAUUUUGUUUUUUGUUGUUUUUGGGCCACUAUGGACUUUAUGUUGAUGUUGUGAAAUUUUUUCUUGUGUUUCCUCUUCCUACGAUGUGGAAAGUGGGUGCUUCAGAGAAGAAAGAAAGAGUGGCUAGCAUUGAUUUUACGUCAUACCAUUGAGAACACUAAUCAGAAGCAGAAGCAACAAUAUUUCAUACAUAUACAACACUUGUAAUCCAUAUAAACAACUUUCCUUUCAAAUAUAAUAUAAACCACAUGAUUUAUAUCCUGGGUCGGCUAUCUCCACAAAGGGCAAGAAAACGCUCCAAGUUUGUAGUAUAGCACUAAAAGUGUCGACUCUCACGAUUUCUUCCCGACAUAUGCAAACUAGACAGUAAUCACAUAAAAUAAAGAAAUAUGUGUUAACACAAACUUAUAGCAUGUAUUUCAACAUAUAGAUUUUUGAUUAUUAUGGUAGAUUAUAUAAUAUAGGGGUUCCCGAAAAAAUACAUAAAAAACAAGAGCAUUAAAAUUUCCUUUUCAGAUCUGGCUAACUGGUAAAGGGAGUUGGAGUAUCUGAGUUUCCAAAUUUGGGACGUCGCUCUAUAGAAGGAAUAUAAAUACAUUGGAAAAAAUUCUACAAGGAAAGGUUUAAUACAAGUAGCGCUAAGAAAAACUCAAUGAGGCUUUGGUCGCUUGGUCACAAAACUUGAGACAAGAAACACGAAGACACCAAGGUAAUUAGUAUGAGAGUUUUCCAAAUUUGGUGUCUUGAUGUAGAAAAAAUAAAUAUAUGACAAACUUGUUUUUUCGCAAGGCAUGGAUAAAUAAGUGGGGGUGAGCAAUAAAUUUCAUCCUAGAUUUAGAAGGAAUAAAUAUAUCACUAAAUACGUUUUUUCACAAUGCCAAGUUAAUCAGGUGGGAGCGAGAAACAAUUCUAGCGAGGCUAGGUUGUACUAGCCCAAAACUACAUACAACAGAGGAAAAAUAAAGAAAAUGAUGGUCUACCAAAUAGGGCGCAUGAGCCUUAAGGUGCACCUAGAGGGAAGUAGAAGAAAUAAAUAUAUAAUAGCAUAUGUUUUUCGCAAUGCAAGGUAAAGUGUAGAUGUGCUCUAACUGGGCUUAGAUUGCAGCGACACAUUAUGCAUCUACAAGGCUUGGUUGCACAUGGAAAAAGAUAGAGAGAGAAAUGUAGACGCAGGACCGGGAGAAAAACAUUCAAUGAGACGUGAUUGCACGGACAUAGAACUAGAUAUAAGACAAGAGUUAAAGAAAAAUAAAGGAACUAAAUUUUCUUCUGCACACUAAGCAUGAAUGGAGUUGUAGUAUCUGAGAUCAAAAUUUAAUUUAUUCCAAGAUGCAGAACAAAAACGUGAUACUCGUAAUGGUUACAUAGGAACAAAAGUAGAUAAGAAAAAUAGCAAAAAGAUAGUGGUCUACCAGAGAGGGCACAUGUGCCUCAAUUGGCCUAUAGCAUAGCGACUCAUUAUCCUUCCACCGCUGGUGGCGGGCGGUACUCGCUGCUCUGUGAAGCCAGCCUCACGCAAUGUCCGCCACUUUAGGUGUUGGGAUGCAAAGGCUUUCGCCAAGGCAUCCGAAACCCACUACACAACUUGGAAUGGGUGGUCCACAGUUUGUAGCACUAGACCCAGGCACAUGCACCACAAUUGACAUCCACACUACCUUAUUGCCCCCGCUCGGGUUACAAGCAAUCGCUACUUGCUCAGCGAGUGAGGGGGUUCAAGACUACCUAUUUAAGGUGGUGUUGUACUCUAUGAGCCGGCGGUGUGGUAUUUACCAACUACAAAUAGUGUCAUGCAUGUGACUUGCUAGUUGACAAUGUCUGUUGUCAAGCUAGGUGUGGGCUAUGGAUGAAGCACAUUAGGAUAUAGUAGGCCUAUUUUGUUUUUUGUUGUUUUUGGGCCACUAUGGACUGUAUGUUGAUGUUGUGAAAUUUUUUUCUUGUGUUUCCUCUUCCUACGAUGUGGAAAGUGGGUGCGUCAGAGAAGAAAGAAAGAGUGGCUAGCAUUGAUUUUACGUCAUACCAUUGAGAACACUAAUCAGAAGCAGAAGCAACAAUAUUUCAUACAUAUACAACACUUGUAAUCCAUAUAAACAACAUUCCUUUAAAAUAUAAUAUAAACCACAUGAUUUAUAUCCUGGGUCGGCUAUCUCCACAAAGGGCAAGAAAACGCUCCAAGUUUGUAGUAUAGCACUAAAAGUGUCGAUUCUCACGAUUUCUUCCCGACAUAUACAAACUAGACAGUAAUCACAUAAAAUAAAGAAAUAUGUGUUAACACGAACUUAUAACAUGUAUUUCAACAUAUAGAUUGUUGAUUAUUAUGGUAGAUUAUAUAAAAUAGGGGUUCCCGAAGAAAUACAUAAAAACAAGAGCAUUAAAAUUUCCUUUUCAGAUCUGGCUAUCUGGUAAAAGGAGUUGGAGUAACUGAGUUUCCAAAUUUGUGACGUAGCUCUAUAGAAGGAAUAUAAAUACGUUGGAAAAAUUCUAUAAGGAAAGGUUUAAUACAAGUAGGGCUAAGAAAAACUCAAUGAGGCUUUGGUCGCAUGGUCACAAAACUUGAGACAAGAAACACGAAGACACCAAGGUAAUUAGUAUGAGAGUUUUCCAAAUUUGGUGUCUUGAUGUAGAAAAAAUAAAUAUAUGACAAACUUGUUUUUUCGCAAGGCAUGGAUAAAUAAGUGGGGGUGAGCAAUAAAUUUCAUCCUAGAUUUAGAAGGAAUAAAUAUAUCACUAAAUAUGUUUUUUCACAAUGCCAAGUUAAUCAGGUGGGAGCGAGAAACAAUUCUAGCGAGGCUAGGUUGUACUAGCCCAAAACUACAUACAACAGAGGAAAAAUGAAGAAAAUGAUGGUCUACCAAAUAUGGCGCAUGAGCCUUAAGGUGCACCUAGAGGGAAGUAGAAGAAAUAAAUAUAUAAUAGCAUAUGUUUUUCGCAAUGCAAGGUAAAGUGUAGAUGUGCUCUAACUGGGCUUAGAUUGCAGCGACACAUUAUGCAUCUACAAGGCUUGGUUGCACAUGGAAAAAGAUAGAGAGAGAAAUGUAGACGCAGGACCGGGAGAAAAACAUUCAACGAGACGUGAUUGCACGGACAUAGAACUAGAUAUAAGACAAGAGUUAAAGAAAAAUAAAGGAACUAAAUUUUCUUCUGCACACUAAGCAUGAAUGGAGUUGUAGUAUCUGAGAUCAAAAUUUAAUUUAUUCCAAGAUGCAGAACAAAAACGUGAUACUCGUAAUGGUUACAUAGGAACAUAAGUAGAUAAGAAAAAUAGCAAAAAGAUAGUGGUCUACCAGAGAGGGCACAUGUGCCUCAAUUGGCCUAUAGCAUAGCGACUCAUUAUCCUUCCACCGCUGGUGGCGGGCGGUACUCGCUGCUCUGUGAAGCCAGCCUCACGCAAUGUCUGCCACUUUAGGUGUUGGGAUGCAAAGGCUUUCGCCAAGGCAUCCGAAACCCACUACACAACUUGGAAUGGGUGGUCCACAGUUGGUAGCACUAGACCCAGGCACAUGCACCACAAUUGACAUCCACACUACCUUAUUGCCCCCGCUCGGGUUACAAGCAAUCGCUACUUGCUCAGCGAGUGAGGGGGUUCAAGACUACCUAUUUAAGGUGGUGUUGUACUCUAUGAGCCGGUGGUGUGGUAUUUACCAACUACAAAUAGUGUCAUGCAUGUGACUUGCUAGUUGACAAUGUCUGUUGUCAAGCUAGGUGUGGGCUAUGGAUGAAGCACAUUAGGAUAUAGUAGGCCUAUUUUGUUUUUUGUUGUUUUUGGGCCACUAUGGACUUUAUGUUGAUGUUGUGAAUUUUUUUUCUUGUGUUUCCUCUUCCUACAAUGUGGAAAGUGGGUGCGUCAGAGAAGAAAGAAAGAGUGGCUAGCAUUGAUUUUACGUCAUACCAUUGAGAACACUAAUCAGAAGCAGAAGCAACAAUAUUUCAUACAUAUACAACACUUGUAAUCCAUAUAAACAACAUUCCUUUAAAAUAUAAUAUAAACCACAUGAUUUAUAUCCUGGGUCGGCUAUCUCCACAAAGGGCAAGAAAACGCUCCAAGUUUGUAGUAUAGCACUAAAAGUGUCGAUUCUCACGAUUUCUUCCCGACAUAUACAAACUAGACAGUAAUCACAUAAAAUAAAGAAAUAUGUGUUAACACGAACUUAUAGCAUGUAUUUCAACAUAUAGAUUGUUGAUUAUUAUGGUAGAUUAUAUAAAAUAGGGGUUCCCGAAGAAAUACAUAAAAACAAGAGCAUUAAAAUUUCCUUUUCAGAUCUGGCUAUCUGGUAAAAGGAGUUGGAGUAACUGAGUUUCCAAAUUUGUGACGUAGCUCUAUAGAAGGAAUAUAAAUACGUUGGAAAAAUUCUAUAAGGAAAGGUUUAAUACAAGUAGGGCUAAGAAAAACUCAAUGAGGCUUUGGUCGCAUGGUCACAAAACUUGAGACAAGAAACACGAAGACACCAAGGUAAUUAGUAUGAGAGUUUUCCAAAUUUGGUGUCUUGAUGUAGAAAAAAUAAAUAUAUGACAAACUUGUUUUUCGCAAGGCAUGGAUAAAUAAGUGGGGGUGAGCAAUAAAUUUCAUCCUAGAUUUAGAAGGAAUAAAUAUAUCACUUAAUAUGUUUUUUCACAAUGCCAAGUUAAUCAGGUGGGAGCGAGAAACAAUUCUAGCGAGGCUAGGUUGUACUAGCCCAAAACUACAUACAACAGAGGAAAAAUGAAGAAAAUGAUGGUCUACCAAAUAUGGUGCAUGAGCCUUAAGGUGCACCUAGAGGGAAGUAGAAGAAAUAAAUAUAUAAUAGCAUAUGUUUUUCGCAAUGCAAGGUAAAGUGUAGAUGUGCUCUAACUGGGCUUAGAUUGCAGCGACACAUUAUGCAUCUACAAGGCUUGGUUGCACAUGGAAAAAGAUAGAGAGAGAAAUGUAGACGCAAGACCGGGAGAAAAACAUUCAAUGAGACGUGAUUGCACGGACAUAGAACUAGAUAAAAGACAAGAGUUAAAGAAAAAUAAAGGAACUAAAUUUUCUUCUGCACACUAAGCAUGAAUGGAGUUGUAGUAUCUGAGAUCAAAAUUUAAUUUAUUCCAAGAUGCAGAACAAAAACGUGAUACUCGUAAUGGUUACAUAGGAACAUAAGUAGAUAAGAAAAAUAGCAAAAAGAUAGUGGUCUACCAGAGAGGGCACAUGUGCCUCAAUUGGCCUAUAGCAUAGCGACUCAUUAUCCUUCCACCGCUGGUGGCGGGCGGUACUCGCUGCUCUGUGAAGCCAGCCUCACGCAAUGUCCGCCACUUUAGGUGUUGGGAUGCAAAGGCUUUUGCCAAGGCAUCCGAAACCCACUACACAACUUGGAAUGGGUGGUCCACAGUUUGUAGCACUAGACCCAGGCACAUGCACCACAAUUGACAUCCACACUACCUUAUUGCCCCCGCUCGGGUUACAAGCAAUCGCUACUUGCUCAACGAGUGAGGGGGUUCAAGACUACCUAUUUAAGGUGGUGUUGUACUCUAUGAGCCGGCGGUGUGGUAUUUACCAACUACAAAUAGUGUCAUGCAUGUGACUUGCUAGUUGACAAUGUCUGUUGUCAAGCUAGGUGUGGGCUAUGGAUGAAGCACAUUAGGAUAUAGUAGGCCUAUUUUGUUUUUUGUUGUUUUUGGGCCACUAUGGACUUUAUGUUGAUGUUGUGAAUUUUUUUUCUUGUGUUUCCUCUUCCUACGAUGUGGAAAGUGGGUGCGUCAGAGAAGAAAGAAAGAGUGGCUAGCAUUGAUUUUACGUCAUACCAUUGAGAACACUAAUCAGAAGCAGAAGCAACAAUAUUUCAUACAUAUACAACACUUGUAAUCCAUAUAAACAACAUUCCUUUAAAAUAUAAUAUAAACCACAUGAUUUAUAUCCUGGGUCAGCUAUCUCCACAAAGGGCAAGAAAACGCUCCAAGUUUGUAGUAUAGCACUAAAAGUGUCGAUUCUCACGAUUUCUUCCCGACAUAUACAAACUAGACAGUAAUCACAUAAAAUAAAGAAAUAUGUGUUAACACGAACUUAUAGCAUGUAUUUCAACAUAUAGAUUGUUGAUUAUUAUGGUAGAUUAUAUAAAAUAGGGGUUCCCGAAGAAAUACAUAAAAACAAGAGCAUUAAAAUUUCCUUUUCAGAUCUGGCUAACUGGUAAAGGGAGUUGGAGUAUCUGAGUUUCCAAAUUUGGGACGUCGCUCUAUAGAAGGAAUAUAAAUACAUUGGAAAAAAUUCUACAAGGAAAGGUUUAAUACAAGUAGCGCUAAGAAAAACUCAAUGAGGCUUUGGUCGCUUGGUCACAAAACUUGAGACAAGAAACACGAAGACACCAAGGUAAUUAGUAUGAGAGUUUUCCAAAUUUGGUGUCUUGAUGUAGAAAAAAUAAAUAUAUGACAAACUUGUUUUUUCGUAAGGCAUGGAUAAAUAAGUGGGGGUGAGCAAUAAAUUUCAUCCUAGAUUUAGAAGGAAUAAAUAUAUCACUAAAUAGGUUUUUUCACAAUGCCAAGUUAAUCAGGUGGGAGCGAGAAACAAUUCUAGCGAGGCUAGGUUGUACUAGCCCAAAACUACAUACAACAGAGGAAAAAUGAAGAAAAUGAUGGUCUACCAAAUAUGGCGCAUGAGCCUUAAGGUGCACCUAGAGGGAAGUAGAAGAAAUAAAUAUAUAAUGGCAUAUGUUUAUCGCAAUGCAAGGUAAAGUGUAGAUGUGCUCUAACUGGGCUUAGAUUGCAGCGACACAUUAUGCAUCUACAAGGCUUGGUUGCACAUGGAAAAAGAUAGAGAGAGAAAUGUAGAUGCAGGACCGGGUGAAAAACAUUCAAUGAGACGUGAUUGCACGGACAUAGAACUAGAUAUAAGACAAGAGUUAAAGAAAAAUAAAGGAACUAAAUUUUCUUCUGCACACUAAGCAUGAAUGGAGUUGUAGUAUCUGAGAUCAAAAUUUAAUUUAUUCCAAGAUGCAGAACAAAAAUGUGAUACUCGUAAUGGUUACAUAGGAGCAAAAGUAGAUAAGAAAAAUAGCAAAAAGAUAGUGGUCUACCAGAGAGGGCACAUGUGCCUCAAUUGUCUUAUAGCAUAGCGACUCAUUAUCCUUCCACCGCUGGUGGCGGGCGGUACUCGCUGCUCUGUGAAGCCAGCCUCACGCAAUGUCCGCCACUUUAGGUGUUGGGAUGCAAAGACUUUCGCCAAGGCAUCCGAAACCCACUACACAACUUGGAAUGGGUGGUCCACUGUUUGUAGCACUAGACCCAGGCACAUGCACCACAAUUGACAUCCACACUACCUUAUUGCCCCGCUCGGGUUACAAGCAAUCGCUACUUGCUCAGCGAGUGAGGGGGUUCAAGACUACCUAUUUAAGGUGGUGUUGUACUCUAUGAGCCGGCGGUGUGGUAUUUACCAACUACAAAUAGUGUCAUGCAUGUGACUUGCUAGUUGACAAUGUCUGUUGUCAAGCUAGGUGUGGGCUAUGGAUGAAGCACAUUAGGAUAUAGUAGGCCUAUUUUGUUUUUUGUUGUUUUUGGGCCACUAUGGACUUUAUGUUGAUGUUGUGAAAUUUUUUUCUUGUGUUUCCUCUUCCUACGAUGUGGAAAGUGGGUGCGUCAGAGAAGAAAGAAAGAGUGGCUAGCAUUGAUUUUACGUCAUACCAUUGAGAACACUAAUCAGAAGCAGAAGCAACAAUAUUUCAUACAUAUACAACACUUGUAAUCCAUAUAAACAACAUUCCUUUAAAAUAUAAUAUAAACCACAUGAUUUAUAUCCUGGGUCGGCUAUCUCCACAAAGGGCAAGAAAACGCUCCAAGUUUGUAGUAUAGCACUAAAAGUGUCGAUUCUCACGAUUUCUUCCCGACAUAUACAAACUAGACAGUAAUCACAUAAAAUAAAGAAAUAUGUGUUAACACGAACUUAUAGCAUGUAUUUCAACAUAUAGAUUUUUGAUUAUUAUGGUAGAUUAUAUAAAAUAGGGGUUCCCGAAGAAAUACAUAAAAACAAGAGCAUUAAAAUUUCCUUUUCAGAUCUGGCUAUCUGGUAAAAGGAGUUGGAGUAACUGAGUUUCCAAAUUUGUGACGUAGCUCUAUAGAAGGAAUAUAAAUACGUUGGAAAAAUUCUAUAAGGAAAGGUUUAAUACAAGUAGGGCUAAGAAAAACUCAAUGAGGCUUUGGUCGCAUGGUCACAAAACUUGAGACAAGAAACACGAAGACACCAAGGUAAUUAGUAUGAGAGUUUUCCAAAUUUGGUGUCUUGAUGUAGAAAAAAUAAAUAUAUGACAAAUUUGUUUUUUCGCAAGGCAUGGAUAAAUAAGUGGGGGUGAGCAAUAAAUUUCAUCCUAGAUUUAGAAGGAAUAAAUAUAUCACUAAAUACAUUUUUUCACAAUGCCAAAUUAAUCAGGUGGGAGCGAGAAACAAUUGUAGCGAGGCUAGGUUGUACUAGCCCAAAACUACAUACAACAGAGGAAAAAUGAAGAAAAUGAUGGUCUACCAAAUAUGGCGCAUGAGCCUUAAGGUGCACCUAGAGGGAAGUAGAAGAAAUAAAUAUAUAAUAGCAUAUGUUUUUCGCAAUGCAUGGUAAAGUGUAGAUGUGCUCUAACUGGGCUUAGAUUGCAGCGACACAUUAUGCAUCUACAAGGCUUGGUUGCACAUGGAAAAAGAUACAAAAAGAAAUGUAGACGCAGGACCGGGAGAAAAACAUUCAAUGAGACGUGAUUGCACGGACAUAGAACUAGAUAUAAGACAAGAGUUAAAGAAAAAUAAAGGAACUAAAUUUUCUUCUGCACACUAAGCAUGAAUGGAGUUGUAGUAUCUGAGAUCAAAAUUUAAUUUAUUCCAAGAUGCAGAACAAAAAUUUGAUACUCGUAAUGGUUACAUAGGAGCAAAAGUAGAUAAGAAAAAUAGCAAAAAGAUAGUGGUCUACCAGAGAGGGCACAUGUGCCUCAAUUGGCCUAUAGCAUAGCGACUCAUUAUCCUUCCACCGCUGGUGGCGGGCGGUACUCGCUGCUCUGUGAAGCCAGCCUCACACAAUGUCCGCCACUUUAGGUGUUGGGAUGCAAAGGCUUUCGCCAAGGCAUCCGAAACCCACUACACAACUUGGAAUGGGUGGUCCACUGUUUGUAGCACUAGACCCAGGCACAUGCACCACAAUUGACAUCCACACUACCUUAUUGCCCCGCUCGGGUUACAAGCAAUCGCUACUUGCUCAGCGAGUGAGGGGGUUCAAGACUACCUAUUUAAGGUGGUGUUGUACUCUAUGAGCCGGCGGUGUGGUAUUUACCAACUACAAAUAGUGUCAUGCAUGUGACUUGCUAGUUGACAAUGUCUGUUGUCAAGCUAGGUGUGGGCUAUGGAUGAAGCACAUUAGGAUAUAGUAGGCCUAUUUUGUUUUUUGUUGUUUUUGGGCCACUAUGGACUUUAUGUUGAUGUUGUGAAAUUUUUUUCUUGUGUUUCCUCUUCCUACGAUGUGGAAAGUGGGUGCGUCAGAGAAGAAAGAAAGAGUGGCUAGCAUUGAUUUUACGUCAUACCAUUGAGAACACUAAUCAGAAGCAGAAGCAACAAUAUUUCAUACAUAUACAACACUUGUAAUCCAUAUAAACAACAUUCCUUUAAAAUAUAAUAUAAACCACAUGAUUUAUAUCCUGGGUCGGCUAUCUCCACAAAGGGCAAGAAAACGCUCCAAGUUUGUAGUAUAGCACUAAAAGUGUCGAUUCUCACGAUUUCUUCCCGACAUAUACAAACUAGACAGUAAUCACAUAAAAUAAAGAAAUAUGUGUUAACACAAACUUAUAGCAUGUAUUUCAACAUAUAGAUUGUUGAUUAUUAUGGUAGAUUAUAUAAAAUAGGGGUUCCCGAAGAAAUACAUAAAAACAAGAGCAUUAAAAUUUCCUUUUCAGAUCUGGCUAUCUGGUAAAAGGAGUUGGAGUAACUGAGUUUCCAAAUUUGUGACGUAGCUCUAUAGAAGGAAUAUAAAUACGUUGGAAAAAUUCUAUAAGGAAAGGUUUAAUACAAGUAGGGCUAAGAAAAACUCAAUGAGGCUUUGGUCGCAUGGUCACAAAACUUGAGACAAGAAACACGAAGACACCAAGGUAAUUAGUAUGAGAGUUUUCCAAAUUUGGUGUCUUGAUGUAGAAAAAAUAAAUAUAUGACAAAUUUGUUUUUUCGCAAGGCAUGGAUAAAUAGGUGGGGGUGAGCAAUAAAUUUCAUCCUAGAUUUAGAAGGAAUAAAUAUAUCACUAAAUAUGUUUUUUCACAAUGCCAAGUUAAUCAGGUGGGAGCGAGAAACAAUUCUAGCGAGGCUAGGUUGUACUAGCCCAAAACUACAUACAACAGAGGAAAAAUGAAGAAAAUGAUGGUCUACCAAAUAUGGCGCAUGAGCCUUAAGGUGCACCUAGAGGGAAGUAGAAGAAAUAAAUAUAUAAUAGCAUAUAUUUUUCGCAAUGCAUGGUAAAGUGUAGAUGUGCUCUAACUGGGCUUAGAUUGCAGCGACACAUUAUGCAUCUACAAGGCUUGGUUGCACAUGGAAAAAGAUACAGAAAGAAAUGUAGACGCAGGACCGGGAGAAAAACAUUCAAUGAGACGUGAUUGCACAGACAUAGAACUAGAUAUAAGACAAGAGUUAAAGAAAAAUAAAGGAACUAAAUUUUCUUCUGCACACUAAGCAUGAAUGGAGUUGUAGUAUCUGAGAUCAAAAUUUAAUUUAUUCCAAGAUGCAGAACAAAAAUGUGAUACUCGUAAUGGUUACAUAGGAACAAAAGUAGUUAAGAAAAAUAGCAAAAAGAUAGUGGUCUACCAGAGAGGGCACAUGUGCCUCAAUUGGCCUAUAGCAUAGCGACUCAUUAUCCUUCCACCGCUGGUGGCGGGCGGUACUCGCUGCUCUGUGAAGCCAGCCUCACGCAAUGUCCGCCACUUUAGGUGUUGGGAUGCAAAGGCUUUCGCCAAGGCAUCCGAAACCCACUACACAACUUGGAAUGGGUGGUCCACAGUUUGUAGCACUAGACCCAGGCACAUGCACCACAAUUGACAUCCACACUACCUUAUUGCCCCCGCUCGGGUUACAAGCAAUCGCUACUUGCUCAGCGAGUGAGGGGGGGUCAAGACUACCUAUUUAAGGUGGUGUUGUACUCUAUGAGCAGGCGGUCUGGUAUUUACCAACUACAAAUAGUGUCAUGCAUGUGACUUGCUAGUUGACAAUGUCUGUUGUCGAGUUAGAUGUGGGCUAUGGAUGAAGCACAUUAGGAUAUAGUAGGCCUAUUUUGUUUUUUGUUGUUUUUGGGCCACUAUGGACUUUCUGUUGAUGUUGUGAAAUUUUUUCUUGUGUUUCCUCUUCCUACGAUGUGGAAAGUGGGUGCGUCAGAGAAGAAAGAAAGAGUGGCUAGCAUUGAUUUUACGUCAUACCAUUGAGAACACUAAUUAGAAGCAGAAGCAACAAUAUUUCAUACAUAUACAACACUUGUAAUCCAUAUAAACAACUUUCCUUUAAAAUAUAAUAUAAACCACAUGAUUUAUAUCCUGGGUCGGCUAUCUCUACAAAGGGCGAGAAAACGCUCCAAGUUUGUAGUAUAGAACUAAAAGUGUCGAUUCUCAUGAUUUUUCCGACAUAUACAAACUAGACAGUAAUCACAUAAAAUAAAGAAAUAUGUGUUAACACGAACUUAUAGCAUGUAUUUCAACAUACAUAUUGUUGAUUAUUAUGGUAGAUUAUAUAAAAUAGGGGUUCCCGAAGAAAUACAUAAAAACAAGAGCAUUAAAAUUUCCUUUUUAGAUCUGGCUAUCUGGUAAAAGGAGUUGGAGUAACUGAGUUUCCAAAUUUGUGACGUAGCUCUAUAGAAGGAAUAUAAAUACGUUGCAAAAAUUCUACAAGGAAAGGUUAAUACAAGUAGGGCUAAGAAAAACUCAAUUAGGCUUUGGUCGCAUGGUCACAAAACUUGAGACAAGAAACACGAAGACACCAAGGUAAUUAGUAUGAGAGUUUUCGAAAUUUGGUGUCUUGAUGUAGAAAAAAUAAAUAUAUGACAAACUUGUUUUUUCUCAAGGCAUGGAUUGAGAGCACCUAGAGGGGGGGGUGAAUAGGUGAUCCUGUGAAACUUGAAAACUUAAGCCACAAAACUUGGUUAAUCGUUAGCACAAUAAUUGCCAAGUGGCUAAAUAGGAAUCCUCAACAAAAUACAAUAACCAACAAAGAUCAAUCACAGAGAUGACACGGUGGUUAUCCCAUGGUUCGGCCAAGACCAACGCUUGCCUACUCCAUGUUGUGGCGUCCCAACGGACGAGGGUUGCAAUCAACCCCUCUCAAGCGGUCCAAAGACCCACUUGAAUACCACGGUGUUUUGCUUUGCUUAUCUUUAUCCCACUUGCGAGGAAUCUCCACAAAUUGGAGUCUCUCGCCCUUACACUUAAAGUUCACAAAGAAGCACGGAGUAAGGGAGGGAAGCAACACACACAAAUCCACAGCAAAAUGCGCACACACACGGCCAAGAAUCGAGCUCAAAAGACUAUCUCAAAGUUCUCACUAGAACGGAGCUCGAAUCACUGAGAAUGACAAACGAAUGCGCAAAGACUGAGUGUGGAUGAUCAAGAAUGCUCUAAGGUUGCUUGGUUUUUCUCCUCCAUGCGCCUAGGGGUCCCUUUUAUAGCCCCAAGGCGGCUAGGAGCCGUUGAGAACAAAUCUGGAAGGCCAUCCUUGCCUUCUGUCGUCGGGCGCACCGGACAGUCCGGUGCACACCGGACACUGUCCGGUGCCCGAUUUCCUUCCUUAAAUGGCGAAGCCGACCGUUGCAGAUGUGGGAGCCGUUGGCGCACCGGACAUGUCCGGUGCACACCGGACAGUCCGGUGCCCCCUUCCGACCGUUGGCUCGGCCACGUGUCGCGCGCGGAUUCCGUGGCCGACCGUUGGCCCGGCCGACCGUUGGCUCACCGGACAGUCCGGUGCACACCGGACAGUCCGGUGAAUUUUAGGCGUACGUCGCCGGUGAAUUCCCGAGAGCGGCCAGUUCGCUCGAGCCAGCCUGGCGCACCGGACACAGUCCGGUGCACCACCGGACAGUCCGGUGCCCCAGACCGAAACAGCCUCUUGGCUGUACACAGCCAACUCUUCUCUUUCCUUCUUCUUUUUGUUUCUGAUACUUAGACAAGUAUAUUAGUACACAAAACCAAUGUACUAAGACUUAGAAACAUACCUUUGCUCUUGAUUUGCACUUUGUCCAUUCAUGGGCAUAGAUUUACAUUUAAUUACUUGUGUUGGCACUCAAUCACCAAAAUACUUAGAAAUGGCCCAAGGGCACAUUUCCCUUUCAAUCUCCCCCUUUUUGGUGAUUUAUGCCAACACAACAUAAAGCAACUAGAACAAGUGCAAUAUUACUUCAAAUAAAAACUCAAAUUCAUUUUGAUUCAAUUUGGCAUAUAUGGAUCAUCCUUUGCCACCACUUGGUUUGUUUUUGCAAAUCAAACUCAAAAUCCUAUCUCUAAGUCAAAUCCACUUGUAGAGACAUAAAGAGAGGUUUUCCAUAGAAGAUUGAUUCAAGAUUCCAAAAACUCCCCCUUUUUCCCAUAAUCAACACUUCACCCCACAAGAGGCCAACUUUUGAUAAAAGAGACAAUGCAAGAGUAUUGACAAACCAAAAGCUCUAUCCUACUGUUUUCAAAGUUUCUCAAGUGGUAGCUGAUCCAUUUAUUGCUUUGGCCUUUAUUUUCUCCCCCUUUGGCGUCAAGCACCAAAACGGGAUCAAUCUUGGCCCUUUAACCCCAUUGCCUCACCAAAAUCUUCAAUUAAGAGCAAAUAGGCAAUAAGAGUUAAAAGAUGAACUUGGAAAAGUUACUCUUUUCAUCGGAGUGCAGUGGAAGUCUUGCAUGGUCCAAGUCCACCUUUUCCCUUUUAAUUCUCCUUCGAGACUAAAACAAGCAAACUCAAGCAUAUGGUUAGUCUCAAAGGGUCAAGUUGUAACACAUCUCCCCCUAAAACUGUGCAUCACUUUGCAACGGACUUGUGAGGUCCAGGGAGUGUUUGUACAACUUGAGCACCAUACUAAACAACAAAAUGCAAAAAGGAUCAUGAUCAAAAGCAUAAAUACAUGUAUGCUACAAUUCAAUCCAAGUUCCGCGAAUCUACGACAUUUAGCUCACUACGCAGCCUGCAAAAGGUCUUCUCAUCUAGAGGCUUGGUAAAGAUAUCGGCUAGCUGGUUCUCGGUGCUAACAUGAAACACUUCGAUAUCUCCCUUUUGCUGGUGAUCUCUCAAAAAGUGAUGCCGGAUGUCAAUGUGCUUUGUGCGGCUGUGUUCAACAGGAUUUUCCGCCAUGCGGAUAGCACUCUCAUUGUCACAUAGGAGUGGGACUUUGCUCAGAUUGUAGCCAAAGUCCCUGAGGGUUUGCCUCAUCCAAAGUAGUUGCGCGCAACACUGUCCUGCGGCAACAUACUCGGCCUCAGCGGUGGAUAGGGCAACGGAGGUUUGUUUCUUAGAGUUCCACGACACCAGGGACCUUCCUAAGAAUUGGCACGUCCCUGAUGUACUCUUCCUAUCGACCUUACAUCCAGCAUAGUCGGAAUCUGAGUUUCCAACCAAGUCAAAGGUAGACCCCUUUGGAUACCAGAGCCCGAAGCAAGGCGUAGCAACCAAAUAUCUAAGAAUUCGCUUCACCGCCACUAAGUGACACUCCUUAGGAUUGGAUUGAAAUCUAGCACACAUGCAUACGCUAAGCAUAAUAUCCGGUCUACUAGCACAUAAAUAAAGUAAAGACCCUAUCAUUGACCGGUAUGCUUUUUGAUCAACGGACUUACCUCCUUUGUUGAGGUCGGUGUGUCCGUCGGUCCCCAUCGGAGUCUUUGCGGGCUUGGCGUCCUUCAUCCCAAACCGCUUCAGCAGGUCUUGCGUGUACUUUGUUUGGGAGAUGAAGGUGCCGUCCUUGAGUUGCUUCACUUGAAACCCAAGGAAGUAGUUCAACUCGCCCAUCAUCGACAUCUCGAAUUUCUGCAUCAUAACCCUGCUAAACUCUUCACAAGACUUUUGGUUAGUAGAACCAAAUAUUAUGUCAUCGACAUAAAUUUGGCACACAAACAAAUCACCAUCACAUGUCUUAGUAAAAAGAGUUGGAUCGGCUUUCCCAACCUUGAAGGCAUUUGCAAUUAAAAAGUCUUUAAGGCAUUCAUACCAUGCUCUUGGGGCUUGCUUAAGUCCAUAGAGCGCCUUAGAGAGCUUACACACGUGGUCGGGGUACCGUUCAUCCUCGAAGCCAGGGGGUUGCUCUACGUACACCUCCUCCUUGAUUGGCCCGUUGAGGAAAGCGCUCUUCACAUCCAUUUGGAACAACCUGAAAGAAUGGUGAGCGACAUAUGCUAGCAAGAUACGAAUUGAUUCUAGCCUAGCCACAGGAGCAAACGUCUCCUCAAAGUCCAAACCUGCGACUUGGGCAUAACCUUUUGCCACAAGUCGAGCCUUGUUCCUCGUCACCACCCCGUGCUCGUCCUGUUUGUUGCGGAAUACCCACUUGGUUCCCACAACGUUUUGCUUGGGACGAGGCACCAGUGUCCAAACUUCAUUUCGCUUGAAGUUGUUGAGUUCCUCCUGCAUGGCUAACACCCAGUCCGGAUCUAGCAAGGCCUCUUCUACCCUGAAAGGCUCAAUAGAAGAGACAAAGGAGUAAUGCUCACAAAAAUUAACUAAUCGAGAUCGAGUAGUUACUCCCUUGCUAAUAUCACCCAGAAUUUGGUCGACGGGAUGAUCCCUUUGAAUCAUCGCUCGAACUUGGGUUGGAGGUGCCGGUUGUGCUUCUUCCUCCAUCACAUGAUCAUCUUGUGCUCCCCAUUGAUCACACUCCUCUUGAUGAACCUGUUCAUCGUUUUGAGUUGGGGGAUGCAUCAUUGUUGAGGAAGAAGGUUGAUCUUGCUCCAAUUGUUCCUGUGGUCGCACAUCACCAAUCGCCAUGGUGCGCAUAGCGGCCGUUGGAACGUCUUCUUCAUCUAAAUCAUCAAGAUCAACAACUUGCUCUCUUGGAGAGCCAUUAGUCUCAUCAAAUACAACGUCGCUAGAGACUUCAACCAAACCCGAUGAUUUGUUGAAGACUCUAUACGCCUUUGUAUUUGACUCAUAACCUAACAAAAACCCUUCUACAGCUUUGGGAGCAAACUUAGAAUUUCUACCCUUCUUUACUAGAAUGUAGCACUUGCUCCCAAAUACACGAAAGUAAGAUACAUUGGGUUUGUUACCGGUUAGUAGCUCAUACGAAGUCUUCUUGAGGAGGCGAUGAAGGUAGACCCUGUUGAUGGCGUGGCAAGCCAUGUUCACGGCUUCCGACUAGAAACACUCGGGGGUCUUGAAUUCUCCAAGCAUCGUCCUCGCCAUAUCGAUUAGUGUCCUGUUCUUCCUCUCUACCACACCAUUUUGCUGUGGUGUGUAGGGAGCGGAGAACUCGUGCUUGAUCCCUUCCUCCUCAAGGAACUCCUCCACUUGAAGAUUCUUGAAAUCGGACCCGUUGUCGCUCCUUAUCUUCUUCACCUUGAGCUCAAACUCAUUUUGAGCUCUCCUAAGGAAGCGCUUGAGGGUCCCUUGGGUUUCAGACUUAUCCUGCAAAAAGAACACCCAAGUGAAGCGGGAAAAGUCAUCGACAAUAACUAGACCAUACUUACUUCCCCCUAUGCUCAGAUAGGCGACGGGUCCGAAGAGGUCCAUAUGCAGCAGCUCCAGGGGUCUUGAAGUGGUCAUCACAUUCUUGCUGUGAUGCGCUCCUCCCACUUGUUUACCUGCUUGACAAGCUGCACAAGGUCUAUCUUUUUCGAAUUGUACGUUAGUCAAACCUAUCACGUGUUCUCCCUUUAGAAGCUUGUGAAGGUUCUUCAUCCCCACAUGUGCUAAGCGGCGAUGCCACAGCCAGCCCAUGCUAGUCUUAGCAAUUAAGCAUGCAUCUAGACCGGCCUCUUCUUUUGCAAAAUCAACUAAGUAAAGCUUGCCGUCUAAUACACCCUUAAAAGCUAGUGAACCAUCACUUCUUCUAAAGACAGACACAUCUACAUUUGUAAAUAGACAGUUAUAUCCCAUAUUGCAUAAUUGACUAACAGAUAACAAAUUAUAUCCAAGAGACUCUACUAAAAACACAUUAGAGAUAGAGUGCUCAUUAGAAAUUGCAAUUUUACCUAACCCUUUUACCUUGCCUUGAUUCCCAUCACCGAAUAUAAUUGAAUCUUGGGAAUCCUUAUUCUUGACGUAGGAGGUGAACAUCUUCUUCUCCCCCGUCAUAUGGUUUGUGCAUCCGCUGUCGAUAAUCCAGCUUGAACCCCCGGAUGCAUAAACCUGCAAGGCAAAUUUAGGCUUGGGACUUAGGUACCCAACUCUUGUUGGGUCCUACAAGGUUAGUCACAAUUUCCUUAGGGAUCCAAAUGCAAGUUUUAUCACCCUUGCAUUUUGCCCCUAACUUCCUAGCAAUCACCUUUCUAUCCUUUCUACAAAUUGCAAAGGAAGCAUUCAAAGCAUGAUAUAUUGUAGAAGGCUCAUUAACUUUCCUAGGCACAUUAACAACAUUUCUCCUAGGCAUAUUAUGAACAACAUUUCUCCUACCAACGUUCCUAUCAUGCUCAUAGAAAGAACUAGAAGCAACCAUGUCAUGAUAAACAUAUGAAUCAAAAACAUUAUAACUUCUAUUUGCAUUUCUAGUAUGUCUCCUAUCAUGAUACAUAAAAGCAUGGUUCUUUUUAGCACUACCAGCCAUAGGGGCCUUCCCUUUCUCCUUGGCGGAAAUGGGAGCCUUAUGGCUUGUUAAGUUCUUGGCUUCCCUCUUGAAGCCAAGUCCAUCCUUAAUUGAGGGAUGUCUACCAAUCGUAUAGGCAUCCCUUGCAAAUUUUAAUUUAUCAAAUUCGCUUUUGCUAGUCUUAAGUUGGGCAUUAAGACUAGCCACUUCAUCAUUCAAUUUAGAAAUUGAAACUAGGUGUUCACUACAAGCAUCAACAUUAAAAUCUUUACACCUAGUGCAAACCAUAACAUGUUCUACACAAGAGUUAGAUUUACUAGCCACUUCUAGUUUAGCAUUUAAAUCAUUAUUAACACCUUUUAAAGUAGCAAUGGUUUCAUGACAAGAAGAUAAUUCACUAGAAAGCACUUCAUUUCUUUUAACUUCUAAAGCAUAAGAUUUUUGUGCCUCUACAAAUUUGUCAUGCUCUUCAUAUAAAAGAUCCUCUUGUUUUUCUAAGAGUCUAUCCUUUUCAUUCAAGGCAUCAAUCAAUUCAUUAAUCUUUUCUACUUUAGUUCUAUCCAAUCCCUUGAACAAACUAGAGUAAUCUAUUUCUUCAUCACUGGACUCAUCAUCACUAGAAGAAUCAUAAGUGACAUUGUUUUGAUUGCAUACCUUCUUCUCCCUUGCCAUAAGGCAUGUGUGACGCUCGUUGGGGAAGAGGGAUGACUUGUUGAAGGCGGUGGCGGCGAGUCCUUCAUUGUCGGAGUCGGAGGAGAAGCAAUCUGAAUCCCACUCCUUUCCGAUAUGUGCCUCGCCCUUGGCCUUCUUGUAAUGCUUCUUCUUCUCCCUUUUGUUCCCCUUUUCCUGGUCACUUUCAUUAUCGGGACAGUUAGCAAUGAAAUGACCAAUCUUACCGCAUUUGAAGCACGAGCGCUUCUCCUUUGUCUUGGUCUUGCUUGGCUGUCCCUUGCGACCUUUAAGCGCCGUCUUGAAGCGCUUAAUGAUGAGGGCCAUCUCCUCAUUAUUUAGCCCGGCCGCCUCAACUUGCGCCACCUUGCUCGGUAGCGCCUCCUUGCUCCUCGUUGCCUUGAGAGCAAUGGGUUGAGGCUCAUGAAUAGGACCGUUCAACGCGUCGUCCACAUAUCUUGCCUCCUUGAUCAUCAUUCGCCCGCUUACGAACUUCCCCAGAACUUCUUCGGGCGACAUCUUGGUGUACCUAGGAUUUUCACGAAUAUUGUUCACCAAAUGAGGAUCAAGAACGGUAAAGGACCUUAGCAUUAGGCGGACGACGUCGUGAUCCGUCCAUCGCGUGCUUCCGUAGCUCCUUAUUUUGUUGAUAAGGGUCUUGAGCCGGUUGUAUGUUUGAGUUGGCUCCUCGCCCCUUAUCAUUGCGAACCGUCCAAGCUCGCCCUCCACCAACUCCAUCUUGGUGAGUAAGGUGACAUCGUUCCCCUCAUGAGAGAUCUUGAGGGUGUCCCAGAUCUGCUUGGCAUUGUCCAAGCCGCUCACCUUAUGGUACUCGUCCCUGCACAAAGAGGCUAGCAACACAGUAGUAGCUUGUGCAUUUUUAUGAAUCUGUUCAUUAAUAAACAUGGGACUAUCCGUACUAUCAAAGUGCAUUCCACUUUCUACAAUCUCCCAUAUGCUAGGAUGGAGAGAGAACAAGUGACUACGCAUUUUGUGACUCCAAAAUCCGUAGUCCUCUCCAUCAAAAUGAGGAGGUUUACUAAGUGGAAUAGAUAAUAACUGAGCAUUAGUACUUUGAGGAAUACGAGAGUAAUCAAAAGAAAAGUACGAAUUGACCGGUUUCUUUCUCUCGUAUUCGUUGUGGUCGUCGUCCUUUUGGGAGGAAGUAGACUCAUCGCUGUCGUAGUAGACGAUCUCCUUGAUGUGUCUUGUCUUCUUCUUCUUCCCAUCUUUGCGUCUGUGGCCCGAGCCCGAGUCGUUGGACUUGUCAUCCCUUGGCUCGUUGACGAAGGACUCCUUCUCCUUGUCGUUGAUCACGAUUCCCUUCCCUUUAGGAUCCAUCUCUUCGGGCGGUUAGUCCCUUUGUGAAGAGAACGGCUCUGAUACCAAUUGAGAGCACCUAGAGGGGGGGUGAAUAGGUGAUCCUGUGAAACUUGAAAACUUAAGCCACAAAACUUGGUUAAUCGUUAGCACAAUAAUUGCCAAGUGGCUAAAUAGGAAUCCUCAACAAAAUACAAUAACCAACAAAGAUCAAUCACAGAGAUGACACGGUGGUUAUCCCGUGGUUCGGCCAAGACCAACGCUUGCCUACUCCACGUUGUGGCGUCCCAACGGACGAGGGUUGCAAUCAACCCCUCUCAAGCGGUCCAAAGACCCACUUGAAUACCACGGUGUUUUGCUUUGCUUAUCUUUAUCCCACUUGCGAGGAAUCUCCACAAAUUGGAGUCUCUCGCCCUUACACUUAAAGUUCACAAAGAAGCACGGAGUAAGGGAGGGAAGCAACACACACAAAUCCACAGCAAAAUGCGCACACACACGGCCAAGAAUCGAGCUCAAAAGACUAUCUCAAAGUUCUCACUAGAACGGAGCUCGAAUCACUGAGAAUGACAAACGAAUGCGCAAAGACUGAGUGUGGAUGAUCAAGAAUGCUCUAAGGUUGCUUGGUUUUUCUCCUCCAUGCGCCUAGGGGUCCCUUUUAUAGCCCCAAGGCGGCUAGGAGCCGUUGAGAACAAAUCUGGAAGGCCAUCCUUGCCUUCUGUCGUCGGGCGCACCGGACAGUCCGGUGCACACCGGACACUGUCCGGUGCCCGAUUUCCUUCCUUAAAUGGCGAAGCCGACCGUUGCAGAUGUGGGAGCCGUUGGCGCACCGGACAUGUCCGGUGCACACCAGACAGUCCGGUGCCCCCUUCCGACCGUUGGCUCGGCCACGUGUCGCGCGCGGAUUCCGCGGCCGACCGUUGGCCCGGCCGACCGUUGGCUCACCGGACAGUCCGGUGCACACCGGACAGUCCGGUGAAUUUUAGGCGUACGUCGCCGGUGAAUUCCCGAGAGCGGCCAGUUCGCUCGAGCCAGCAUGGCGCACCGGACACUGUCCGAUGCACCACCGGACAGUCCGGUGCCCCAGACCGAAACAGCCUCUUGGCUGUACACAGCCAACUCUUCUCUUUCCUUCUUCUUUCUGUUUCUGAUACUUAGACAAGUAUAUUAGUACACAAAACCAAUGUACUAAGACUUAGAAACAUACCUUUGCUCUUGAUUUGCACUUUGUCCAUUCAUGGGCAUAGAUUUACAUUUAAGCACUUGUGUUGGCACUCAAUCACCAAAAUACUUAGAAAUGGCCCAAGGGCACAUUUCCCUUUCAUGGAUAAAUAAGUGGGGGUGAGCAAUAAAUUUCAUCCUAGAUUUAGAAGGAAUAAAUAUAUCACUAAAUACGUUUUUUUUUACAAUGGCAAGUUAAUCAGGUGGGAGCGAGAAACAAUUCUAGCGAGGCUAGGUUGUACUAGCCCAAAAUUACAUACAACAGAGGAAAAAUGAAGAAAAUGAUGGUCUACCAAAUAUGGCGCAUGAGCCUUAAGGUGCACCUAGAGGGAAGUAGAAGAAUAAAUAUAUAAUAGCAUAUGUUUUUCGCAAUGCAAGGUAAAGUGUAGAUGUGCUCUAACUGGGCUUAGAUUGCAGCGACACAUUAUGCAUCUACAAGGCUUGGUUGCACAUGGAAAAAGAUAGAGAGAGAAAUGUAGACGCAGGACCGGGAGAAAACAUUCAAUGAGACGUGAUUGCACGGACAUAGAACUAGAUAUAAGACAAGAGUUAAAGAAAAAAAGGAACUAAAUUUUCUUGUGCACACUAAGCAUGAAUGGAGUUGUAGUAUCUGAGAUCAAAAUUUAAUUUAUUCCAAGAUGCAGAACAAAAACGUGAUAUUCGUAAUGGUUACAUAGGAACAAAAGUAGAUAAGAAAAAUAGCAAAAAGAUAGUGGUCUACCAGAGAGGGCACAUGUGCCUCAAUUGGCCUAUAGCAUAGUGGCUCAUUAUCCUUCCACCGCUGGUGGCGGGCGGUACUCGCUGCUCUGUGAAGCCAGCCUCACGCAAUGUCCGCCACUUUAGGUGUUGGGAUGCAAAGGCUUUCGCCAAGGCAUCCGAAACCCACUACACAACUUGGAAUGGGUGGUCCACAAUUUGUAGCACUAGACCCAUACACAUGCACCACAAUUGAUAUCCACACUACCUUAUUGCCCCCGCUCGGGUUACAAGCAAUCGCUACU
rnacentral:lncRNA from 1 species